UGAUGACGAGACGCUAAGGCGUUGAAGCAGUGUAUGUCAGACUUCCAAGAAAAGCUCGCAAUGUCACAAAUAAAAGAUGCCUGUACCAUAACCGACACAGGUGGGUAGGUAGAGUAUACUAAGGGGCGCAAGAUAACUCUCUCUAAGGAACUCGGCAAAAUGACUCCGUAACUUCGGGAGAAGGAGUGCCUUAUUUAUAAGGUUGCAAUAACAAGAUCCAAGCAACUGUUUAUCAAAAACACAGGUCUCCGCUAAGUCGUAAGACGAUGUAUGGGGGCUGACGCCUGCCCAGUGCCAGAAGGUUAAAGAAGUUGGUUAGUGUAUGCGAAGCUGAUGACUGAAGCCCUGGUGAACGGCGGCCGUAACAAUAACGGUCCUAAGGUAGCGAAAUUCCUUGUCGGGUAAGUUCCGACCCGCACGAAAGGCGUAAUGAUUUGGAUACUGUCUCGGAGAGAGGCUCGGUGAAAUAGACUUGUCUGUGAAGAUGCGGACUACCUGCACCAGGACAGAAAGACCCUAUGAAGCUUUACUGUAACUUGAAAUUGGAAUUGGACUUUGCUUGCGCAGUAUAGGUGGGAAGCGUUGAAAAUAUUCUUGCGGGAGUAUUGGAGCUAUCAGUGAGAUACCACUCUUGUAAUGUUAGAUUUCUAACUUUGAACCAUAAUCUGGUCAAAGAACAGUUUCAGGUGGGCAGUUUGACUGGGGCGGUCGCCUCCCAAAUGGUAACGGAGGCGUACAAAGGUUUCCUCUGAACGGAUAGAAAUCGUAUCUAGAGUGUAAAGGCAUAAGGAAGCUUGACUGUGAGACCUACAAGUCGAGCAGGGACGAAAGUCGGUCUUAGUGAUCUGACGGUACUGAGUGGAAAGGCCGUCACUCAACGGAUAAAAGUUACUCUAGGAUAACAGGCUGAUCUCCCCCAAGAGUUCACAUCGACGGGGAGGUUUGGCACCUCGAUGUCGGCUCAUCGCAUCCUGGGGCGGUAGUACGUCCCAAGGGUUGGGCUGUUCGCCCAUGAAAGCGGUACGCGAGCUGGGUUCAGAACGUCGUGAGACAGUUCGGUCCAUAUCCGGUGUAGGCGCUAGAAUAUUGAGAGGAGCCUUCUUUAGUACGAGAGGACCGAGAAGGACACACCGCUGGUGUACCAGUUAUCGUGCCAACGGUAAACGCUGGGUAGCUAUGUGUGGAGUGGAUAACCGCUGAAAGCAUCUAAGUGGGAAGCCCACCUCGAGAUGAGUAUUCCC
rnacentral:rRNA from 1 species